CAGUAGCCGCGGUAAUACGAAGGGUGCAAGCGUUAAUCGGAAUUACCGGGCGUAAAGCGUGCGUAGGCGGUUUGUUAAGUCUGUUGUGAAAUCCCCGGGCUCAACCUGGGAAUGGCAAUGGAUACUGGCAAGCUAGAGUGUGUCAGAGGAUGGUGGAAUUCCCGGUGUAGCGGUGAAAUGCGUAGAGAUCGGGAGGAACAUCUGUGGCGAAGGCGACUAUCUGGGCCAACACUGACACUGAGGCACGAAAGCGUGGGGAGCAAACAGGAUUAGAUACCCCUGUAGUCCCUGUCUCUUAUAC
rnacentral:rRNA from 1 species